CUUGCGGCCAUAUCAGUUGGAAACACCGGUCCUCGUACGAUCACCAAAGUUAAGCAACGUCGAACCAUGUCAGUAUCUAAAUGGUUAGCCGCUUGGGAAUACCAAGUGCU